GAACAUACCAGAGCAUAUGAGAACAUUGUAUGCAGAACAUGGUAGAAAAAUAUACAAGCAUGGAGCAUGUAAAGCAUAGUAAAGAAAACAUUCAAGAAUGAAGUAUAAAAACUCAGUAGAAGAGCAUGCCAGAACAUGGUAAAAGAAAAUUGCAAGAACACAAUAGAAGCAUGUACUCAUAGAGGAAAAACAAAGUUCGAAAGCACUUAAACAUUUUACGAAAACCCUAGAUCAGAAAAGAAGGACUUCGGAAAGUAAUUUUUGAAAGAAGAGUUAGGGAAAUCAUUUAACAGCUCCAGUAGAGCAUAGAUACACAACAGAUCUAAAGAAAAUCGGAGAAAACAUCGAAGGGUUAGGGUUUCAGAAGAACCUAGAAUGAGAAAGGUUUUGAAAAGGUCACCGAUCUGAGUCAGAGAGGUCAAAAUCGGGCUUAAAAUACCAUGGUGCGCUAGAGCAAGGUCGGCGAUGACUCUGAAACCUUGAAUCAGCAGAUGUCUGAGUUAAAACCUUCAAGGUCAGGCCUCAAAUAAUCAGGUAUCCAGUGUGUAAGAGCAAAGGGAGGUGAGUAUAAGACUCUCAUUGCUUGAGAAGCCAUGGUUUCCGGUGGGUUUCGAGGUGAAAGAUGAUGAGAUGUUGCUAGGGUUAGGAAGGUUCGAGAGAGUUUUAGAGAGGAGAGGGG
rnacentral:lncRNA from 1 species